rnacentral:rRNA from 1 species
GUAGGUAUCUACCCUUUGGCCUGGAAUAACACGAGGAAACUUGUGCUAAUACCGGAUAAGUCUUUACGGAGAAAGCUUUAUGCACCAUUGGAUGAGCCUGCACUUGAUUAGUUUGUUGGUGGGGUAAUGGCCUACCAAGACUGUGAUCAAUAGCUGAUUUGAGAGGAUGAUCAGCCACAUUGGGACUGAGACACGGCCCAAACUCCUACGGGAGGCAGCAGUGGGGAAUCUUGCACAAUGGAGGAAACUCUGAUGCAGCGAUGCCGCGUGAGUGAAGAAGGCCCUUGGGUUGUAAAGCUCUUUCGUCGGGGAAGAAAAUGACUGUACCC